GAUGAACGCUGGCGGCGUGCCUAAUACAUGCAAGUCGAGCGAGCAGACGAGAAGCUUGCUUCUCUGAUGUUAGCGGCGGACGGGUGAGUAACACGUGGAUAACCUACCUAUAAGACUGGGAUAACUUCGGGAAACCGGAGCUAAUACCGGAUAAUAUUUUGAACCGCAUGGUUCAAAAGUGAAAGACGGUCUUGCUGUCACUUAUAGAUGGAUCCGCGCUGCAUUAGCUAGUUGGUAAGGUAACGGCUUACCAAGGCAACGAUGCAUAGCCGACCUGAGAGGGUGAUCGGCCACACUGGAACUGAGACACGGUCCAGACUCCUACGGGAGGCAGCAGUAGGGAAUCUUCCGCAAUGGGCGAAAGCCUGACGGAGCAACGCCGCGUGAGUGAUGAAGGUCUUCGGAUCGUAAAACUCUGUUAUUAGGGAAGAACAUAUGUGUAAGUAACUAUGCACAUCUUGACGGUACCUAAUCAGAAAGCCACGGCUAACUACGUG
rnacentral:rRNA from 1 species